rnacentral:piRNA from 1 species
UGAAGCAGAAGUCCCAUCGUGGUGCA